rnacentral:rRNA from 1 species
GUACGGUUAAGUCCGUGAACGAGCGCAACCCCUGCCCUUAGUUGCUAAUAUGCGAAAGCAUAUGCACUCUAAGGGGACCGCCAGCGGAAAGCUGGAGGAAGGUGGGGAUGACGUCAAAUCCUCAUGGCCUUUAUGUCCAGGGCUACACACAUGCGACAAUGGUCGAGACAACGCGUUGCAAACCAGUAAUGGUAAGCUAAUCGCAUAAAAUCGACCUCAGUACGGAUUGAGGGUUGCAAUUCACCCUCAUGAAGCUGGAGUUGCUAGUAACCGCAGGUCAGCUAUACUGCGAUGAAUACGUUCCCGGGGCUU